UUUGAAUGAUGAUAAUUACUUACUGAUAAAGGGCCAAAAGUUUAAUUUUUUUUUUUUGAAAAAAUUAAUCUUUUUAAUCAUAAUAUGAUGGCUUAAUCUUCUCACUGACAAAU